CCUGCUUGUGGUCUCACAUUGUACCUCACUAUAGCAUAGAGCUUCCAGGUCCACAUGGAAUAAUGAUGGCAUAGCAACUGCCUUGUGCCUCCCAGAGUCAGAACCCGAUGGGCAUGAUGACUCCGUUGCUGAAAUUUCUGUGACUAGGUCACCUGGGAAGGAAGAGGCUUUCUCUAGUAGAGGGUGCUGUGCCGACAGAAUUGAGGAGAUGCGAAGUUUCUGUACAUGGCCAAGACUUAGGGCUGCCUUUCAUCUUCAAGCCACUUGUUCUGAUCCAAAAGACCCGGGAAAAGGAAAAAAGAUACAGACACAGGCCAUGCUAAAGGAUGUAGAUAACACAGAAUGUGCUGAGUUACCAGAUGAUGCAAGCACUGUGGCACUCACUGAUACAUGAAAAACACAACACCUACAAGAUCUAUUGUCAAGUUUCCUGUUGAUACCAACAUGGGUCUCAAAGGGCUUCCCUUUGCUUCUUUUGGAAAAAAAAUAAAGAAAAGAGAUGAAUUUAGAACCCAUAGGGUGGAAAAUAAAGGUCAUGCAAAGGCAGCCCUAGCAUACAGCAGUGCAGAGACAAGGCUUUACCCACCCAACUCUUCCAGAAGCCACCUCCCUGGGAGGGCAUUCCUUUGGAACAGAAGCAGCAUCCAUCCCACAGGGAUUUGAGAACUGUGAGCUCUGAAUGAUAAAAGGCUGAGUCAUAGGUUAUCAAUGUGCAGAUUGCUCCUUUGCCUCUGCCUUGAGGGCAUGCAAGCCACUUUUUUUUUCUUUCUUUCUUUCUUUCUUUCUUUCUUUCUUUCUUUCUUUCUCUUUCUUUCUUUCUUUCUUUCUUUCUUUCUUUCUUUUUUUUUAAACUAAAUUGUUGGAAUUUGAUUCAUUUCCUCUUUCUCUUUCCCCUUUGGCUUUCAAAUCUAGAAUUUUGAGUUUGUCUAUAUAGGAGGGGUUCCAGGUCUGGGCUAAUUCUGAGGAGCCUAAGAUUGAUUGCUGUCAUGGCUACACGAGCAGACAGUUGGUGUACAGUUGCUAUUAUAGACAUAUGUCCAAAUGUGCCUAUGUGGCCAGGCUUUGAGAAGCCUAGAGUGGGUUCAGAAACAAAGCCCUCCCUAGAAUAACGUUGUCACAACUGCAGUUAUUGCUGAUUCUGAGUGUUUGCCUGGCCAGUCCUUUACCACUCAUCUUCUCCAUCUGCCUCUUCAGGCAGUGAUGUUCACAAGAAAGCUACUCAACAGGUGAAGCGGCCAAGUGAUCAGCAAUGACAGGAGGAGUACGUUGAAGCAUCAAUCUUCAGGAGGUUUUUGUCAAAGCUCUCUGAAGGGUUUUCCAACCUAAACUGCUCCUGUUGUUACUCAGCCAGGCUCUGGAACCUUCAGGCACACUGAAGGCAAAGCCCGCACAUUUUCAGCGUUGAGCUCUUUUGACACCUCUGUGAUAUAUGGCUGGGAAAGUACACACCGCCUCAUCUCCGAUUGUCCUUAUUGCAGAAAGCAGGCUUAUGCCCUUUAAGCAGGGGGAGCUCCAAAUGGUGCAGGAGGCAAGUCACCGGUUGGGGAUCUGCUUCCUCUCUCCCUUGAAACCACCUUGCUUGUUAGACAAUCUUAAGUGUUGAGUGGAGAGGUGUCUUGCUUGGGCUUGCUUUUGAGUACCGGGAAGUCAGCUUUUCCGCCUUGGAUGCCUGAGUUGGGAUGUAGGUGUGUAGCAGAGGGAAUGGGUGGAGGCAUCUCACUAAUGGGGAAGGCAUCUUUGAAACAAGCCGAGAUAUGGAGCUGGGAUUCUGGGAAGCAAACAUUUCUUCCCAGCACUGAACUUUGAUGGGAGGAUACUUUGAUAUCUGUGGUUGCAGAAUAAAUAUGAUUCACUCUAGGGAUUCUGCA
ensembl:lncRNA